CGUUGGGUUAUUUUUAGUUAGAACCCAACUGUUGGGUUAAACAUGGUUCCCGCUUCACUCCGGUUCAAAUUUUAACGGUCCAGUCAGCGGCUCAGUGGACAUCAGCGGCAGCCUGCCUUAUUAUGAAAGAUAAAUGGAUUUUUUUGUAAAGAAAAGAUUACAACAGCGGAGCCUCUGCAAUUUAAUAGAAACAUUUCAAGGUUGGUACUAAUAUGGUGCACUACCUCAACAAUGAGACAAGCCAGGAUCCACAUGUCUUGGUGCUUGGAGACAAAUGAAAUUCCUCCCAAGUUUUCAUCAUUUUCAUUGGAGAGGCAGUUGAAAAGGAGACCUUACUUCAAGCAGUGAAUGAAUGCUUCAAAACGUUCUACAUCUAUGACGUAAACUACCCAAAGCCCUCUGCUCCAAUUUGGGGAGUUCUUGCAGCAUGCAGUCUAUAAUAUUCCUGGAGGAGUUCCUUCUACACAUUGCUGCCUCCUAAAAAACUUUGUAUUCAAAGUUACUGAUCAUCAGUUGAUCCAGUAGCCAAAACACACGUUUAAGGGUUAGUUCACCCACAAAUGAAAAUUCUGUCAUUAAUCACCCUCAUGUUGUUCCAAACCCGCAAGACCUACGUUCAUCUUUGGAACACAAAUUAAGAUAUUGUUGAUGCAUUCUGACAGCUCUCUGACCCUCCUAUAGACAGCAAGGGUCCUUACACCAUCAUUGUCCAGAAACUUAGCAAGGAGAUUGGUAAAAUAAUCCAUGUGACAUCAGGGGUUUAACUUUAACAGCAUACGCUGUUUGCGUUGAGUGGAUACUGUCUAAAAUGGCACUAGGGUGACACGGAGGAGACAAAUUGUUGAAUAAACUCAUUAUUUUUUUUUCUUUUGCCCACAAAAAGUGUUCUCGUAUAAUAUUACGGUUGAACCCCUGAUGUCACAUGGAUUAUUUUACCAAUC